rnacentral:rRNA from 1 species
AACCUACGGGGGGCAGCAGUUAGGAAUAUUCGGCAAUGGGGGAAACCCUGACCGAGCAAUGCCGCGUGUGAGAUGACGGCCCUAUGGGUUGUAAAUCACUUUUAUUUGGGAAGAACUGUAAGUAGAGGAAAUGAUACUUACUUGACGGUACCUUUUGAAUAAGCCCCGGCUAACUACGUGCCAGCAGACGCGGUAAUACGUAGGGGGCAAGCGUUAUCCGGAAUUACUGGGUGUAAAGGGUGAGUAGGCGGCAUGGUAAGCCAGAGGUGAAAGCCUUGGGCUUAACCCAAGGAUUGCAUUUGGAA